rnacentral:rRNA from 1 species
UGGGGAAUAUUGGACAAUGGGGGCAACCCUGAUCCAGCAAUUCUGUGUGCACGAAGAAGGUUUUCGGAUUGUAAAGUGCUUUCAGCAGGGAAGAAGAAAGUGACGGUACCUGCAGAAGAAGCGACGGCUAAAUACGUGCCAGCAGCCGCGGUAAUACGUAUGUCGCAAGCGUUAUCCGGAAUUAUUGGGCAUAAAGGGCAUCUAGGCGGCCCUGUAAGUCUAGGGUGAAAACCUGCGGCUCAACCGCAGGCCUGCCCCGGAAACUACAAGGCUAGAGUAUCGGAGAGGUGGACGGAACUGCACGAGUAGAGGUGAAAUCCGUAGAUAUGUGCAGGAAUGCCGAUGAUGAAGAUAGUUCACUGGACGGUAACUGACGCUGAAGUGCGAAAGCUAGGGGAGCAAACAGGAUUAGAUACCCUGGUAGUCCUAGCUGUAAACGAUGAUUACUGGGUGUGGGCAUGAAGAGUGUCCGUGCCGAAGCAAAUGCGAUAAGUAAUCCGCCUGGGGAGUACGGCCGCAAGGCUG